rnacentral:lncRNA from 1 species
GGCAUCUUUCUGAACCCCCUCGAUCGUCCGAGCUUCCAUAAUACCAUCCGAACUUCUCCGAUAAUGAGCUUCUCCAUUCAUCCAUCGAGCCGCUCCAAAGGCUCUCUGGGCUUCACUAUCAGCCGACCUUCUACAGUGAUCAACUAUUCUUCGAAUCCCUCCCAGACUCCUUCCGAUCGCGGACGACCCUAUUCCGAACUUCUUCCG